UUUUGGAUAUAAAAUUUUCCUUUCCUCUCUUCCAGUCAUCGCUCCUUCCUAAAACCAUUCUGGAGGACCCAACAGCCACCCUCUUCCAGGCUGACCUGUUCCCUGCUGCCCUGGUCUACUUUGGCUCUGACGUCAAGACAGAGAGUUACUUAGAGAGACUUCUCCUGGAUUCCAGUGUCUCGGCCUACAAGCAGACGAG